GGGGAAUAUUGCACAAUGGGGGAAACCCUGAUGCAGCGACGCCGCGUGGAGGAAGAAGGUCUUCGGAUUGUAAACUCCUGUUGUUGGGAAAGAUAAUGACGGUACCCAACAAGGAAGUGACGGCUAACUACGUGCCAGCAGCCGCGGUAAAACGUAGGUCACAAGCGUUGUCCGGAAUUACUGGGUGUAAAGGGAGCGCAGGCGGGAAGACAAGUUGGAAGUGAAAUCCAUGGGCUCAACCCAUGAACUGCUUUCAAAACUGUUUUUCUUGAGUAGUGCAGAGGUAGGCGGAAUUCCCGGUGUAGCGGUGGAAUGCGUAGAUAUCGGGAGGAACACCAGUGGCGAAGGCGGCCUACUGGGCACCAACUGACGCUGAGGCUCGAAAGUGUGGGUAGCAAACAGGAUUAGAUACCCUGGUAGUCCACACCGUAAACGAUGAUUACUAGGUGUUGGAGGAUUGACCCCUUCAGUGCCGCAGUUAACACAAUAAGUAAUCCACCUGGGGAGUACGACCGCAAGGUUGAAACUCAAAGGAAUUGACGGGGGCCCGCACAAGCAGUGGAGUAUGUGGUUUAAUUCGACGCAACGCGAAGAACCUUACCAAGUCUUGACAUCCCUUGACAGACAUAGAAAUAUGUAAUCUCUUCGGAGCAAGGAGACAGGUGGUGCAUGGUUGUCGUCAGCUCGUGUCGUGAGAUGUUGGGUUAAGUCCCGCAACGAGCGCAACCCUUAUGGUCAGUUACUACGCAAGAGGACUCUGGCCAGACUGCCGUUGACAAAACGGAGGAAGGUGGGGAUGACGUCAAAUCAUCAUGCCCUUUAUGACUUGGGCUACACACGUACUACAAUGGCGUUAAACAAAGAGAAGCAAGACCGCGAGGUGGAGCAAAACUCAGAAACAACGUCCCAGUUCGGACUGCAGGCUGCAACUCGCCUGCACGAAGUCGGAAUUGCUAGUAAUCGUGGAUCAGCAUGCCACGGUGAAUACGUUCCCG
rnacentral:rRNA from 1 species